rnacentral:rRNA from 1 species
AGAUUGAACGCUGGCGGCAUGCUUUACACAUGCAAGUCGAGCGGCAGCGCGGGGGCAACCCUGGCGGCGAGCGGCGAACGGGUGAGGAAUACAUCGGAACGUACCCGGAAGUGGGGGAUAACGCCGCGAAAGCGGCGCUAAUACCGCAUAUUCUGUACGCAGGAAAGUGGGGGACUCGCAAGGGCCUCACGCUUUCGGAGCGGCCGAUGUCCGAUUAGCUAGUUGGUGGGGUAAAGGCUUACCAAGGCGACGAUCGGUAGCUGGUCUGAGAGGAUGAUCAGCCACACUGGGACUGAGACACGGCCCAGACUCCUACGGGAGGCAGCAGUGGGGAAUUUUGGACAAUGGGGGCAACCCUGAUCCAGCCAUGCCGCGUGCGGGAAGAAGGCCUUCGGGUGUAAACCGCUUUAGUCGGAAGAAAGGCAACUCCUAAUAGGGUUGUUCGUUGACGGUUACCGGCGGAAUAAGCACCGGCUAACUACGUGCCAGCAGCCGC